CCUACGGGGGGCAGCAGUGGGGAAUAUUGGACAAUGGGGGCAACCCUGAUCCAGCCAUGUCGCGUGUGUGAAGAAGGCCCUCGGGUUGUAAAGCACUUUCAGUGAGGAAGAACGCCUGGUGGUUAAUACCCAUCAGGAAAGACAUCACUCACAGAAGAAGCACCGGCUAACUCCGUGCCAGCAGCCGCGGUAAUACGGAGGGUGCGAGCGUUAAUCGGAAUUACUGGGCGUAAAGCGCGCGUAGGUGGCUUGAUAAGCCGGUUGUGAAAGCCCCGGGCUCAACCUGGGAACGGCAUCCGGAACUGUCAAGCUAGAGUGCAGGAGAGGAAGGUAGAAUUCCCGGUGUAGCGGUGAAAUGCGUAGAGAUCGGGAGGAAUACCAGUGGCGAAGGCGGCCUUCUGGACUGACACUGACACUGAGGUGCGAAAGCGUGGGUAGCAAACAGGAUUAGAUACCCGAGUAGUC
rnacentral:rRNA from 1 species